GAUGAAGAACGAAGCGAAAUGCGAUAAGUAAUGUGAAUUGCAGAAUUCAGUGAAUCAUCGAAUCUUUGAACGCACAUUGCGCCCCCUGGUAUUCCGGGGGGCAUGCCUGUCCGAGCGUCAUUACAACCCUCAAGCUCAGCUUGGUGUUGGGCCCCGCCGCCCCGGCGGGCCCUAAAGUCAGUGGCGGUGCCGUCCGGCUCCGAGCGUAGUAAUUCUUCUCGCUCUGGAGGUCCGGUCGUGUGCUCGCCAGCAACCCCCAAUUUUUUUCAGGUUGACCUCGGAUCAGGCAGGGAUACCCGCUGAACUUAAGCAUAUCAAUAAGCGGAGGA
rnacentral:misc_RNA from 1 species